UAGACCACUGGUUUGAAGGUAAGACUGCAAAGUAUGUUCUUUCUUGAAAAACAUUAACUGCUUUCCCUCUGAAUUCUGUGGUUUUAUUGUUCAAGGUGAGUUACACUGUGAAUUAUAUUGUGUAGCCCUGAUUAGUCCUUAUUGGGUCCACAUUUGCAGAACAUAUAAUUUCUCAGUGGUUAGCUGAAAUUGAUCUCUCUUUUUGAAGUCAGGUCAGCGUUUUAGUCUGUUAUUUGCCAUCAAUUUUCAUGGGUUGUAUUUUCUUACAUAAAAUAUUCUGAUCAUUUGUUUAUUGCUUCUAUGUCCUAUUUCUGCAGCAGAAUAGAAACUUCCAGCCAACAUCUCUGUGAAAAUUAUUGUGCCAAAGGAAAUGGCAAAGAUCCACUACAGCAAGGAAUUCUUUUUGAGAAAACCAUCUGCUCAUCUCACAUAUUAAAACCUCCAUGAAAUGAGUGGAUUCAGAAGGAGAUGUCAUCAGCAAUACAGACACGGCUCAGUUUUUUCUCGUAUGAGAACUCAAGACCAUCCCUACCAUUUCCAUCAGCAAUGCAUGUCAUUUCUCAAGAGUUAUUUUUCUUCUUAAGGCACAUCAAGA